UUUUUGGUUUUAUAUAAUUUUUUCUAAAUUAGGAUGAUUUGAUAUGUUUAAUAUUAGUGGUCUUAAAAAAUAAUAAAUUAAAGAUUUAACCCAUAUUGAAACAGUGGAUUAAUUAUAUUUUACUUUUUUAUUAAUGUUGAUUCAAAAACCCGUCCCUCCAAAUCCGUCUUGCCAAAAAGUCAUUUAUUUUAUUAAUAUUAAUUUUAUUAAUGAUAUGACUCUGAAUUAUAAUCUAAAUAUUUUAGCUAAUAACAUAGGAGUGCACCAUAUUUAUUUAAUAGGGAAAUGUACCAUAUGACCCGAAUGCAUUUUUAUCCAAAUCCACCAAAAAAGUCUUGCAAAAAUACUAUAAAGAUAAGAAGCGAUAGUCGGUUUUGAUAGAUAUAAGAUUAGCAAAUAUAUUAGUUAGCUUAAAUUAGUUAAAGAAUACAAAUUAAAAGGGUAUGCACCAUAUUUAUUUAAUAGGGAAAUGUACCAUAUGACCCGAAUGCAUUUUUAUCCAAAUCCACCAAAAAAGUCUUGCAAAAAUACUAUAGAGAUAAGAAACGAUAGUCGGUUUUAAUAGAUAUAAGAUUAGCAAAUAUAUUAGUUAGCUUAAAUUAGUUAAAGAAUACAAAUUAAAAAGGUAUAUUACACUUUAUUCAAAUAUUGUAUCAAAACUUAUAUAACACAGAGAUUUGAUAAUUUUUAAUUGUUGAAUACUUCUUUUUUGUGCUAAUUUUAUGUGAUUAAGAUUUAAUUGAUUUCAUAUAUAAAAUAUUAAAUUGACUUAUUUGUUUAUAAUUUGGUAACAGAUAGAUAUUUGAAUAUUCAGUAUAUUUUGCUUCAGUUUAGGAAAUCUUUGAUGACCCGUCUUUAGAUCCAAUAAGUCCUAUAAUCUAGAGAUUAAUUUGCAGUAUACCGCAGGUAGGCUUAUAUUUUAGUUAAACUAAAAACUUUUAUUGUAAAGAUGAUUUAAAAAUAUAUGAUAUUAUUUUAUUUGAUUUUAAAUGUAUAGUAAACUGUGAGUUGUAUAUGUUUUGUUGAUAUUAUCUAUAUUGUUUAGUGUUUAAGAUUAUACACUUGUAGUUUGAUUGUUAAUUUAAGAGUUUCACAUGUAGUAUACCAUCUUGUAUUAAUAUCGAUCUAAACCCGUCAAUUCUAGGAUUUUUCAGCUUAUAUUAAAAAUUGAAUCACAUCUAAUAUGUUAUUAACUAUUGUAAUAUAUAAGAUUAUAAAUUUUCAAUAUAAUAUGUAUGAAAUUGAAUAUGAAUAUUUCAAAUUUAUGUCCCCUUACUCAGUAGAAAGUUUUCUUAAAUCUAUUUUUCACCCGUUAUAAUAUUAUUUCAUGUAUUGAACAGUUUAUAUUUGUUUUUAAAAAUUCAAAUUAUGGCAUAUGCGAAAAAACUCUAAUUAUUUUUUUAUAAUGAUGAUAUUAUUUUUCCGUAUAAAUAGAAUCAUAUAAAGAUGAGAAGUGAACUAUAAUAAUUAAUAAAAAAUUAAUAUGAUAAUUUAGAUACCAAAUAUAGUUUGUUGAUUUUAAUUGGUUACUUUUUUAGAAAUUAAUAAUCUAUUUCGUUUUUCUAAUUAAAUUAAAU
rnacentral:sRNA from 1 species